rnacentral:tRNA from 1 species
UGCACAGUAGUUCAGUGGCAGAACGACCGCCUGUUAAGCGGAGAGUCGCAGGUUCGAACCCUGCCUGUGCAGCCA